rnacentral:tRNA from 1 species
GAGGGUAUAGGUCAGUGGUAGAGCGCAUCCUCAGUAUCCAUGAGGCCCUGGGUUCAAUCCCCAGUACCUCCA